UACGUAGGGUGCAAGCGUUGUCCGGAAUUAUUGGGCGUAAAGAGCUCGUAGGCGGUUUGUCGCGUCUGCUGUGAAAACUCGGGGCUUAACCCCGGGCCUGCAGUGGGUACGGGCAGACUAGAGUGCGGUAGGGGAGACUGGAAUUCCUGGUGUAGCGGUGAAAUGCGCAGAUAUCAGGAGGAACACCGGUGGCGAAGGCGGCAUCCUGGCCUGUUCUUGACGCUGAGGCGCGAAAGCUAGGGGAGCAAACGGG
rnacentral:rRNA from 1 species